UGUCAGAACCAUCUUCCUUCACUGCCGCUUGAGCUGACAGGGCUCCAGCUCCGGCAGGCUGCUGUGAACGCAGGCCAGCCUCCACCAGAAUGUCCCACGUCAUCGCCUCUGGCCCCAUGGGUAGUCAUCAGUCCCUCCUCCCAUCUCAGGUGAAGAUGACAUCAGCCCCCGAGGGAACCUGGUAGCCUCUAACACAAAUGAUGAUGGAAGUUGCCUGCAUCACCUACUCCCAUCCUCCAGGAGAGUACCUGGCUACAGGAACAUCUGAGCUGGAUCUUGAGGAUACUGUUUGGCUUCUGGUAGUUCAAGAAUCAAGCAGUGCCUCGGGAUGCUGCCUUCUCACCUGGAUGUUUCAUCUGAUAACAAGUGAGAUCACAAGUGUCCAUCUACGCAAGCAUCAUGGUGGUACAUACAUCUGCCAUGUGUAUCAGCACUAUGGCUCUCAUCCCAGUCAGCAUCAAACUGUCUCCCUCACAAUGAGCAGCAACCUCCAGACGCUGCUUUGUACAAAGCACUCCACCCUUUUCUUCGGAAAUCAACACAACCCAUUUAGUGACCAGCUUUAUCCACAUCCAGCUUGGCUCUGAACGCUACCAGACUCCUCUCACAGGGAGUUCUCCACCACAGCUUUCAUUCCUUGUUCCCAGCCACUCACUGGAGAAUGGAAUUAACAUCAAAUAUAAUUAGCCCCAAGGCUAUCCACAGCACCCUCCUUUAUCUUUCUACCCUCCAACCUAAGGAAAAGUUCACGUUUCAGCCAGGGCAUGCCACUACACUGCCAAAGGAACAGACAUUCCAAGUGUUGCUUGAAGAGGGAACCAUGAUCUGGGGCUGGGCAGCAGAGAUAAAAGGCCAAAGGACUGAGUGACUUUCUCCAGAGGAGCCUACGAGGUACAGUGCCACCUCCAUUCACUCUCCUCCUCUCCCUGAGCCCCAGAAAGCUGCCCCUGGCACUCAUUCCAAAGGUCCCUAGCUAGCUGGUUCCCAUUGACUAUAUCAGCUACAUUAAGAAAUGUCUGCCUGGGCUAACUGGUCCUUGCACAGAAAGACCAUGUUCUUUAUGAGGCUCCCUCUCUGACUCAACUGUAUCCCUUUCUAUGCUGUUUGGUUUUAAAUGUCAACUUGCCACAACCUAGAAUUGCCUGGCAAGAGAGUCUCAUCUGAGGCAUCCCCUUCAAUCUGGUUGGCUUGUGACCAUGUCUGCAGGCUACUGUCUUGAUUGUUGGUAGAUGUGGGAAGACCUAGCCACUGUAGGUGGCACCAUUCCCUAGGCUGGUAGUCGAGGACUGUGUAAAUGAGAAAGGCUAGCUGAACAAAAGCAACCUAGGAAAUAGCAUGGGCACGUUCAUUUUCUGUCUGCUCUUGACUGUGAAUGCUAUGUGAUUAUGUGCUUGAGUUUCUGCACUGACUUCUCUGAAAAGAUGCACUGUAAGCCAAAUAAACUCUUUUCUCCUUAAUGUAAA